CAAAAACAUGUCCUUUUGUAGAAUUGUAUAAGGUUUGACCUGCCCAAUGAGGAGUUUAAUGGCCGCGGUAUUUUAACCGUGCUAAGGUAGCAUAAUCAUUUGUCUUUUAAUUGAGGGCUUGAAUGAAAGGUUGGACGAGGUAUAAGCUUUCUUUAAUUUAAUUUAUGAAUUUAAUUUUUGAGUUAAAAAGCUUAAAUUUUUUUGUGGGACGAGAAGACCCUAUAGAUCUUUAUAUUAUAAGUUUAUUAGGUAAUUUAGGGGAUUAAUUUAUUUUAAUAAAUUGUAUUAUUUUGUUGGGGUGACUGUAGAAUUUAUAUAACUUCUAUUUUUGAUUUUUCAUUUAUUGGUGUUUAAUUGAUCCAUAAUUUGUGAUUAGAAGAUUAAGUUACCUUAGGGAUAACAGCGUAAUUUCUUUGGAGAGUUCAUAUCGAUAAAGGAGUUUGCGACCUCGAUGUUGGAUUAAAAUAAGUAAUAAAUGUAGUAGUUUAUUGGCUGGGUCUGUUCGACCUUUAAAUUUUUACAUGAUCUGAGUUC
rnacentral:rRNA from 1 species